GAACGAACGCUGGCGGCAUGCCUAAUACAUGCAAGUCGAACGAACACUUCGGUGUUAGUGGCGCACGGGUGCGUAACGCGUGGGAAUCUGCCCUUGGGUUCGGAAUAACAGUUGGAAACGACUGCUAAUACCGGAUGAUAUCGAAAGAUCAAAGAUUUAUCGCCCAGGGAUGAGCCCGCGUAGGAUUAGCUAGUUGGUGAGGUAAAGGCUCACCAAGGCGACGAUCCUUAGCUGGUCUGAGAGGAUGAUCAGCCACACUGGGACUGAGACACGGCCCAGACUCCUACGGGAGGCAGCAGUAGGGAAUUUGGACAAUGGGCGAAAGCCUGAUCCAGCAAUGCCGCGUGCAAGGAAGAAGGCCUU
rnacentral:rRNA from 1 species